rnacentral:rRNA from 1 species
GACGAACGCUGGCGGCGUGCUUAACACAUGCAAGUCGAACGGAAAGGCUCCAGCUUGCUGGCGUUCUCGAGUGGCGAAGGGGUGAGUAACACGUGGGUGAUCUGUCCUGCACUUAGGGAUAAGCCUGGGGAACUGGGUCUAAUACCGGAUAUGAUCGCUAUAUGGGGUGUGUGGUGGAAUGGAUUUCCUUGUUUGUGAUUAGCAUGGGGGGUACCUGUUUGUUUGGGGGGUAAUGGCCGACCAAGACGGCGAAGGGUAGCGGUACAGAGGGGGUGGACGGUCGCACAGGGACUGACAGGAGGCCCAGGUACCGACGGGAGGCAGCUGGGGGGAAUAUUGCACAAGGGGGGCAGCCCGGAUGAAGCGACGCCGCGGGGGGGAAGAAGCCCUUAGGGUUGAAAACCCCUUUCGCUAGGGACGAAGCAUUUUGUGACGGUACCUGGAGAAGAAGCACCGGCUAACUACGUG